UACGUAGGGACCAAGCGUUGUUCGGAUUUACUGGGCGUAAAGGGCGCGUAGGCGGCGUGUUAAGUCAGCUGUGAAAUCUCCAAGCUUAACUUGGAACGGUCAGCUGAUACUGAUGUGCUAGAGUGCAGAAGGGGCAAUCGGAAUUCUUGGUGUAGCGGGGAAAUGCGUAGAUAUCAAGAGGAACACCUGAGGUGAAGACGGGUUGCUGGGCUGACACUGACGCUGAGGCGCGAAAGCUAGGGUAGCAAACGGG
rnacentral:rRNA from 1 species